rnacentral:rRNA from 1 species
CUACGUGCCAGCAGCCGCGGUAAUACGGAAGGUUCGGGCGUUAUCCGGAUUUAUUGGGUUUAAAGGGAGCGUAGGCCGUAGAUUAAGCGUGUUGUGAAAUGUAGAUGCUCAACAUCUGACUUGCAGCGCGAACUGGUUUACUUGAGUGUGCGCAACGUAGGCGGAAUUCGUCGUGUAGCGGUGAAAUGCUUAGAUAUGACGAAGAACUCCGAUUGCGAAGGCAGCUUACGGGAGCACAACUGACGCUGAAGCUCGAAGGUGCGGGUAUCAAACAGGAUUAGAUACCCUGGUAGUCCGCACAGUAAACGCUGGAUGCCCGCUGUUGGUCCAUUAGGAUCAGCGGCCAAGCGAAAGCAUUAAGCAUCCCACCUGGGGAGUACGCCGGCAACGGUGAAACUCAAAGGAAUUGACGGGGGCCCGCACAAGCGGAGGAACAUGUGGUUUAAUUCGAUGAUACGCGAGGAACCUUACCCGGGCUUGAA